CCCUUGUGAUUUGAGUGGUAAAGCAUCUGCCUGCAAUGCAGGAGACCUGGGUUCGAUCCCUGGAUUGGGAA
rnacentral:tRNA from 1 species